CCUCCGGCUACAAUGAUUGGUCAGAAUCAAGCCCUUGACUGAAACCAACCAGUCACAGCUAAUGAGAUUAAUCAUCAAUGAAUAUUAGCUAGUGUUACUGCUCCAUUAUUGUGGCAAAUGUUAACUCCAUCCCCCACCCACAGCCGGGUCUUGGUAGGGAGAGGGUGAAAUGAUGGACUAGGAGAGAUUUGGGUUCCUUGGACAGAUCUUGCCUUUUCCAGCAAGCUAUGGGCCCCUGGCCCUCACCUCCCGCUUCUCAGUUUCUUCACCUGGAAAAUGAAGAUGACUAAGGAACCUGGGCCUUGGAAGGUUCUGGGAAUUCAGUGGAGUCAGGCACGUUCUUCAUUUGUGUAUUAUCUACGGCCCAGUUCUUGCUGCAGCAGCGGAAUCGAGAAGCUGCGGGAGAGACCCCGCAGCCUGCAAAGCUGAAAAUAUUUACUUCCUGGCCAUUCACAGAAAAUGUUUGCCAACCCAUGACCUAAAGCAUCAUCUCUCAGAGGGUUGGGAAGGAACCUGGAAGCUGUCCCAUUCAGAGGCGGGAGCUUCAACGGGACCCUGCGUCUUCUGCCUCCAAGGCCUGUGGUAGGGGCUGUCACAGGCUGCAGAGGAGUCCAGGAGGGAGAUGCUACAGGUAAGGCAGGAGGAUGGAGAAGAGAGAACAGACUUGAACUAGACUUAGGGUCACACCAGCAGCUGUGAGCAGCUGACGAGUGUUCCAGUGCAAGGAGAGGAGGGUGCAAGAGCCAGGGAUUAUACACUGAUUAGCCUCCAUCACCGCAGAAAUUAUCUUGCCUGUGCAUGGUGCGAGGGUCUGGAACAUACAUUUAACCAAGGCAAGGAGCGAAGUGAGAGGAAGCAAUAUUGUGGAUUGCAGGAGGUGAUGGAUGAGAUGAGAGAAGAAUCUGCAUGGUCAGAAUCUGUUUGGCAUCGGAAGGGAAGUACCCAGGAAAUUUGAGGAUCGCCUCGUCCAGUUGUCUGUGGAACUGAACUGUGAGUUGUCCAUGAGGGAUGAAUGGCAAUGCCAAUGUUUCCAGAGUUUCUGUCAUGAGGUCUCCUGGCUUGGAGAUGGAGAGGGCACACACAGGUUUCGGAUUCAAGCCUGCAGGACAGUCCUGGCUGCACCACUCAGGAACCCUGGGUGAGUCUCUUUACCCCUCACAGCCUCAGUUUUCCCUUCCUGGAAAUGGGACCACAAUCCAAACCUUGUAGAACUGCUUCAAAGAUGAAAGGAGACAUCGCAUGUGAGAUGCCGGCCCAUAGGAGCCAGGGCACGAAAGGCAGCUCCGCAUUGGGUCCCCAAAAAGUCUCCGCAGGUUGGCAGCCAAGAGAGCUACCAUUUCUUUGUUUGGAGAGAUUCCACUCCCUGGAAAGGGUAAUCCUGCAGGAAAGGAGGAGGGAGUCGUUCCAGAGUUUGGGAGAUGUCGGCUUUGACUCUGAGUGAUGCCGCCUCAAACACUUACUGUCAUACAGGAAGUUACUCAAACACAAUCAAUUAGACACCCAUAUUAGCAUAUUUGUCAUUGUAAUACAGCCGCAGAGAGGAGAUGCUGGAGACUGUUUAUUGCUGUUCUGAGCUAAUAUUUAUUAAAGUGAUUAAUAUGUUUUUCAAAUAUCUGUGACAGGCGUGGCAGGAAUUACUGAUCUCCUCCCUCGAGAGCCUGAAAGGGUGAGGGGUGGGAGUCACUUAGAGAGGGGCGGCAGGUAGGGGCCUUGGGGCCUCAGGGGACCGUGUCCUCCUCUGGGGCCCCUUUCCUGCUCGGGCCUCCUGCCUUCCAUCUUCCCCUGUCUCCUCCACCUUCAACUUCCCCUGUCUCCUCUCCUCCACCUUCAACUUCCCCCUCUACUGACCGUUCCCAUCGGCAUUCUGAGACAUCUCCCACCAUGACAAAUAGAGACCUCCCAGGAUGCCCUGUCCCCCUGCUCCUUCCUGGACCCCCUCAUCCCCAGCCAUUCUGCCAUCUUCCUCCUUCCCUCCAUAGCCAAACUCUUCAAAAGAACUCUUUUCCCUCCCUACCUCCUUUGCUCAUCUUCCAGUCUCUGCUUUUUAAAAAUCAUUACAAAAAAUUAAAAGUGGCUGGGCGCGGUGGCUCACACCUGUAAUCCCAGUACUUUUGGAGGCCAAGGCGGGAGGGAAUAACCUGAGGUCAGGAGUUCGAGACCAGCCUGGCCAACAUGGUGAAACCCUGUCUCUAUUAAAAAUACAAAAAUUAGCAGGGUGUGGUAGCUGGUGCCUGUAAUCCCAGCUACUCAGGAGGC
rnacentral:lncRNA from 1 species